AUGUAUUCCAUGUGAUUAUAAGAGAAGAGGUAAAAUUUAAAAUUGAUCUCUAAGAUGUGGCUAUGGUUUUGCCCCAAAAUCUGCACAUAUAAUACAUAUUCUAGAUUGUGGGAAUUGGUUGGACCUCCAGAUUGAACAAGCGGUGUGUUCAUGUGCUUUGUAUCAGAUGCUCAAAUGUAGAAAAUUCAAUGUAUAUAGCUCUUCAUUCUACACUUAGGUGUCAUUUGCAGCAAACCCAAAAAUUUGAUUAUUAUUGCUUAAUGCGUCGGGUCAGAAAAAAGAGGAGUGUUUCUUUGAACUUUCGUACUAUUGGCACCAUUAGAAGAAUGUGGUUGCUGCAGCUCUCAUAGGCCUUGUUGUCGCAACAUUUUGUUAUUGCAGGCCUUGGUUCUCUCUUUGUUAGUAAUUUAAUUUUUCUUCCUUUUCCUUUUCAAUGAACCUUAUCAUUUUUAUGUGCUGUGUUUGGAAAAGCUUUGGAAAAAUUAUAAAUGUAUGUGUUGCCAUGAAUCUAGACUUUCUUUCCUUCUUUCUAAUUUCCUAUUCUUUUUUUAAUAGCAGGGUAGGAAAUUUAUUUUAGAAAUUAUUGUGGGUAACUCAUGUAAUUUAUAAAUUUUCUAAUACAAAAACUAGA